UACGUAGGGGGCAAGCGUUGUCCGGAUUUAUUGGGCGUAAAGAGCGUGUAGGCGGCCAGGUAGGUCCGUUGUGAAAACUCGAGGCUCAACCUCGAGAUGUCGGCGGAAACCACUUGGCUAGAGUCCGGAAGAGGAGAGUGGAAUUCCUGGUGUAGCGGUGAAAUGCGCAGAUAUCAGGAAGAACACCUAUGGCGAAGGCAGCUCUCUGGGACGGUACUGACGCUGAGACGCGAAAGCGUGGGGAGCGAACAGG
rnacentral:rRNA from 1 species